rnacentral:rRNA from 1 species
AUUGAACGCUGGCGGCAGGCCUAACACAUGCAAGUCGAACGGCAGCGGGGGAUAGCUUGCUAUCCUGCCGGCGAGUGGCGGACGGGUGAGUAAUGCAUGGGGAGCUGCCCAGUCGAGGGGGAUAACAACUGGAAACGGUUGCUAAUACCGCAUACGCCCUAAGGGGGAAAGGUGGGGAACUUCGGUCCUACCGCGAUUGGAUGCGCCCAGGUGGGAUUAGCUAGUUGGGGAGGUAACGGCUCACCAAGGCGACGAUCACUAGCUGGUCUGAGAGGAUGACCAGCCACACUGGAACUGAGACACGGUCCAGACUCCUACGGGAGGCAGCAGUGGGGAAUAUUGAACAAUGGGGGAAACCCUGAUGCAGCCAUGCCGCGUGUGUGAAGAAGGCCUUCGGAUUGUAAAGCACUUUCAGUCAGGAGGAAGGGGUGAUGGCUAAUAUCCAUCAUCAUUGACGUUACUGACAGAAGAAGCACCGGCUAACUCCGUGCCAGCAGCCGCCGUAA